GACGAACGCUGGCGGCGUGCUUAACACAUGCAAGUCGAACGGUGAAGCGCCUUCCUUUUUGGUGGGUGUGGAUGAGUGGCGAACGGGUGAGUAACACGUGAGUAACCUGCCCCCUUCUUCUGGAUAACCGCAUGAAAGUGUGGCUAAUACGGGAUAUUCUGGGUCUGUCGCAUGAUGGGUCUGGGAAAGAUAUUGUUUCGGUGGGGGAUGGGCUCGCGGCCUAUCAGCUUGUUGGUGAGGUGAUUGCCUACCAAGGCGGUGACGGGUAGCCGGCCUGAGAGGGUGGACGGUCACCCUGGUACUGAGCCACGGGCCGGACUCCUACGGGAGGCAGCAGUGGGGAAUAUUGCACAAUGGGCGCAAGCCUGAUGCAGCGACGCCGCGUGAGGGAUGGAGGCCUUCGGGUUGUGAACCUCUUUCGCCAGUGAAGCAGGCCUGCCUCGUUUGUGGGUGGGUUGACGGUAGCUGGAUAAGAAGCUCCGGCUAACUACGUG
rnacentral:rRNA from 1 species